UGACUCGACUGUAAGGGCUCUUGGUACUAACUUGAACCCUGGAGGUGCAGAUCCCUGGAGAAACAAUCACUGAAGAUGGAGCUCUGAGCCCCUCCUUAACUCCUUCUCAUAAUACCUGUAUGCGAAGGUGGUUUUAAGUUUGGCUGAGAACCUAUCUUCCAGAGCAGGCUUCCUUCCCUUCCAUGCUCUAGAAUGUUUCUGGCUAAGGUGACAAAUAAGGCAACCAAAAUGUGACUCUGUUCAGUAUCUGGAGGCAGGGAGGGCCCACAGCAUGCCGUGACUGGAAUUGUGGUCCCGGGUCUUGACCCAUGGUGCAGCAUAUAUCCAAACCAGGCCACCUGUGUUCAAUCCAGGAGCCUCACCUGCCAGUCCGAGUGGCAGCCAGGUAGAAGUGUACACUGUGCAGGAGUCUCAGACAAGGCAGAUUGGAGUGCUGCGGGCAGGGCCAGGGGCCAUGUUAGAGGAUGGGAGAGGGCAUCUUAAGCACUGUGCUCUCCCUCCCUGACCUCCUGCAGAGCUGGUUUCAGCAGUGAGUCACACAGAAUUAGACUGCCUUCUUGCAUUACCUGGUAGGUAACAGCUUUCUGAAUUCAGGAGGCGGUUAGUAAGUUUGAGCAUAUGAAAUCUGAAAGAGGCGUCCGUGGGUAGGGAGUUUGAUAACUUUACAGGUAGGAUGAUAACACACCAACAGGAACCGAGGACAGUAAGACUGUGUGAGACUGUGUGAGCUUUUAGGAAUCAUUGAGGACAGGCAGAGGUCCUGAACCACCCAUUCAUGACUUAGGAGUGUAGCCUAGACAGCACUGGAGGGACUGCUCCUGAAACAUGCUGGCCCAGUGUGUGCUGGGACCAAAGGAAAAACUAACACAUUGUCCUGCAUUUGUGUAAAUCCUCAUAUGCUUCCCGUGAGUGACCUCCUAAGGCUUGGGUUGUACACCUUGAAGAAUGCCAACACUGGAGAAGGGGCGUGGUGAGAACACUGAUUCUUCCUCACCUUGGAGGGACAGGCUAAGAGGGGGGAAGUGGUUGAAGUCUCUUGAGUCAUGUUCUCCAGUUCUAGACUUCUCCAACCACACUUCUUGAAAUGUAAAAGGAAGCUUUCCUCUACCUAUCAUAUAGCAGACCUGGAGUCCAUAACCUCAGAAGGUAAUACUACUAGCGAAAAAUGUAGAAGGAUCAGGAAGGCUGUCAUUAAAGUCUUUGGGUGACAGAUGAGUGUUGAUGCACUAUGGAAGACGUCCUUGUGCUUUGAGAAGAGGUCCCUGAUGGAGGAAGACUUUCUGUCUGUUCUUAACCUCACCACUAGAACAGUCUUGGGCUGGAUGGUUUAUAGAGCUGAGUUGCUGUGAUGGCUCUGUUCUUACAUUAGCAGAAACAGUGGAAAAAAAUAAAAAUAACUUUGGAUUGCUUCAACUUCUUUUCAGUUGACUUCUCAUGUUUAUUCUGGGAACCACCCAAUGAAGUGGCACAGAAAAUAAAAGCUAAGAUAAUGUGGUAAAGCCAGUAAUCAUCUCACUGAUGCCUGGUGCCAUGAGGUGGGUACUGUAAUUCCGUUUUUACAGGUGAGGAAACUGAGGCACAGAGAAGUCACAGCAGGAAGUGGCAGAAACAGGACUGGAGCCCAUACAGUCUGAAGCCAGUGUCUGUUCUACUCUGCACUGUGCUGGGUUCUGAGAUGGGAGACCAGAAGUGGAGAUUAGCCCAGGAGGCAUUCUCAUAGACAGGGAGCCUGACAGUUUCUGCUACUUGCCUCAUGACGUCAGCUGACUUGGACUUGCCAGGGACCAGUUGUCACCGGACUUUGUCGCUGUGGGCCUUUGUGGAUGGCCAGUCUCUCUUUCAGUUCAAAUUCUGAGCACAGUGAACCUCGUUGGCUCAGUCUUGCUCAUGCGUUGGCUCCUCUCCCACCCCAGUCCAGUAAUAGUGUCCAGAGGAUGAAGUCAUGUGAGCCAACACCUUUCUAAGGAGAGAGUAGAAAGGAUAAAACAAACAAAACUGUUGGGCUAUUCAGAUGUGUGUGUUUGGUUUUUAACUUGCAGUUGUAGUUUAGAGAAGUCCCAUGUUUUCUUUAUCCAGUUUCCCCCAAUGCUUACAUCUGACAUAA
rnacentral:lncRNA from 1 species